UUUCAACAUAUCCUCCUCCCAAUAUUCAGCUGACCAGACCAACCAAACGUGCCCUCGCCGAAACCCAGUGUCACUUCGCCGUUUUACCAGCCGCUCCCAUCUGACCCUCAAUCACCUGAAAACCUCCCACAACAUUCGAAUACGUCAUCGUAUUACCAUACCAUCGCCGCCACCGCCAUUCGUGCCUCCUCCACCGCCGUCUACUUUGCAUUGCCGCCGUUCUUCCCUUCCUCAUCGCCGCCAUCUGCCUACUCUGGCCCUCCUACCCUGACCUCUCUAUCGUCCGCCUCCGGCUCGACGGCCUCCAAUUCCAUACUCGCCCCAAAAUCUCCCUCGACAUCAAACUCGACCUCACCGUCAAGGUCCGGAACAGAGACUUUUACUCAAUUGAAUAUGACUCAUUAGCUGUCGCGAUCGUGUACAGAGGGGAUCGCCUGGGGUACGUCUCCUCGGACAACGGCUACGUCAGAGCUCGUGGGGAGUCUUAUGUUAACGCCACGCUCCAGUUAGAUGGAGUUGAGAUUUUGUCGGACGCGAUUCUGUUGCUGGAAGACCUAGCCAAGGGUUCGGUUCCGUUCGAUGCCGUCACAGAGAUUGAUGGGAAGCUUGGAGUUUUCUUCUUCGACAUUCCUUUUAAGGUAAAUUUUGAUGGCUAAGAAAUACGAAAGAAUAUGAUCACUAAUUAUUUUUCAGAUUAGAAGGGUUGGUAUUAAUGCUAGUUCUAUAAAGUAGAACGGAUAAGAAUGAUGAAUGUUUCUUUACUCUUGGAGCUGCAUGUGAAAGAAUGGAGAAAAGCAAUUGAAGGGAAAUAAUAGUACUGCAAAGAUAGGCACUUAUGGCUUUAAUCAAUUUGUUUGGGAAGGCAUGCUAAAGGGUUGUGAAUGUUGAUAUCAAGGCAAUUUAGAAACUAGAGGGAAAUGUGGUCCUUUAUGAACAAAUUUUCUAGAGUUUGUCUUCCAUAGACAUGGGUGCUUUGAAGUCGUGACAGUCGAAAACAACCAAUUUAAUUUGCAGUUGUGACCACAAAACUAACCAGUAAAGACGCAGAUAAAAGCAAAGGGAAGCAAUCCAUACCAUUAGAUCCAUAGAACAAAUUUAAAUUCAUAAGAUAAUUAUGGUCAGCCAAGUGUGUUUAUGAGUUCAUUCACUUUGGAUGAACCUUUGGAUAAUAGAUAUGAAGCGGCACUGUGUUCGAGCUCCAACUCUAGGUGUGUGCCAAAUAUCAUCACUAGGAGAGUUAUGACAGAAUUGACUUCAGUAGGGACUAGAGGCUUGGAGAAAAUGGUGUGAGCGAGGAUAGAGCUUCCAUUGGGGAACAUGUUUGGAGAUGAUUUAUGACCGAGUUCAUCUGAGAGUCAGUGAUUGAGAACCUACGCACGUGAGCAUAACAUCUUCUGUAAGCUUUGUUUAAUGUUUUGGAAGAUGGAAUCUUAUGUAGUCCUUUGUCAGAAUUUUUUUUCUGCUUGCUCACCUUAAUUUUCUGUUUCUAGUUGUUGUAAGGUAUUGUUUCUUUGCACUUGUAUGAUUUAGAAUCAAAGGUAAAUACACUGUUCUUCUAGAAUGUCAUGUUUGCAAAUCUACUUACCCAAGGUAUUUUCACUCAUGAGAUGUUCCAUUUCUCCAUUCUAUCCCUCUGUACGCUCAUGUGUUUCUUCUUUUUUUGGUAUCCUGGCAUCAAAUGAUGGACAAAUCUGGAAUCGUUACUUAUUUAAAACUAGUGGAAUUAUAAUAUGGUGGCAUGGGUACGCAUCCCCCACUCCCCACCAUCAGCUUCUAAGCUAUUUAAGAUCUUUUUUAAAUGUCAAUGUGCUGAUCAAAAUCAAAUUUGUCAGUUUCUCAUGGCUUCAUAAUUAUGAUUUUUACAGGCAAAAAUGUAUGUGAAAUAAUUUUAAAUGCACACAACCAAACAAUUGAUCAUCAAAGCUGCCAUCCUGAGGUAAAGUUCCAAUCUUCUGCUAGUUUUACCUUUCUUCUGGUUGAUCUGUCUUGCAUGUGAAUAACAAUGGAAGGAAUUGGAGGUGAAGGAUAUGAAUUCUAUGUGAAAUUAAGAAAGUAAAAGAAGCUCACAUCUUAUUCAUCAUACCGUUUAGUCUUGUCCAAUGCUGGCUCUUGG
rnacentral:lncRNA from 1 species